CUGGCUCAGGAUGAACGCUGGCGGCGUGCCUAACACAUGCAAGUCGAACGAAGCACUUUGUUACGAUCCCUUCGGGGUGACGACUUUGUGACUGAGUGGCGGACGGGUGAGUAACGCGUGGGAAACCUGCCCUAUACCGGGGGAUAACAGUUGGAAACGACUGCUAAUAC
rnacentral:rRNA from 1 species